rnacentral:rRNA from 1 species
UACGUAGGGUGCGAGCGUUGUCCGGAAUUAUUGGGCGUAAAGAGCUCGUAGGCGGUCUGUCGCGUCGAAUGUGAAAACCCGGGGCUCAACUCCGGGCUUGCAUUCGAUACGGGCAGACUAGAGUUCGGUAGGGGAGACUGGAAUUCCUGGUGUAGCGGUGAAAUGCGCAGAUAUCAGGAGGAACACCGGUGGCGAAGGCGGGUCUCUGGGCCGAUACUGACGCUGAGGAGCGAAAGCGUGGGGAGCAAACAGG